UACGUAGGGUGCAAGCGUUGUCCGGAAUUAUUGGGCGUAAAGAGCUCGUAGGCGGUUUGUCGCGUCUGCUGUGAAAACUCGGGGCUUAACCCCGGGCCUGCAGUGGGUACGGGCAGACUAGAGUGCGGUAGGGGAGACUGGAAUUCCUGGUGUAGCGGUGAAAUGCGCAGAUAUCAGGAGGAACACCGGUGGCGAAGGCGGCUCGCUGGGCCAGAUCCGACACUCAUCCGCGAAAGCGUGGGGAGCAAACAGG
rnacentral:rRNA from 1 species